UGUAACACCUUGCGAAGUUCUGCGGCUUCACUCCUGAAGUCAGCAAGACCGCGAAGCCACCAGAAGGAAGAAACUCCAGAUGCAUCUGAACAUCUGAAGGAACAAACUCUGGACACACCAUCUUUAAGAACUGUGACACUCAACUGCAAGGGGUGGCGGCUUCAUUCUUGAUGUCAGGGAGACCAAGAACACACCAGAAGGAACCAAUUCCUGACACAUCAGCUCCAGCAUCAUUUCACUGCUGAUGAGAAUUUUCUCACUAGCAUCUGCUCCUGGUGGUUAUGGUAGAGUGAAUGGGUUUAGCGCAGUAUCAGUUCCCAACCUUUUUGGCACCAGGGACCAAUUUCAUGGAAG